rnacentral:misc_RNA from 1 species
AUGCUUCAAUUCAUCUUCAGCACCCAGAGUUAUGUUCACAGAAUCAAUGACUUGUACUCCAACAUUCUCAGCUACGAAUUUGCAUUGGCCGUUCUUUCCAGUGUAAGGAUAUGCUGCUUCAGUCUCAAGGCCACCAUUGUACUUAAUGUAUUCAAAAGCCUGGGAAGGCAGUCCACCAUUGCAGCCAAAGUUGUUAAAAGCACCUGCACAAUCCACCAGCUGCUGCUCGGACAGGGAGAUACCCUUUCCAUGUGCUUGUGCAUAGGCCGCUUCAAGCGCUCCAGUUGUACUGAAUGUCCAGCAAGAACCACAGUGGCCUUGAUCUUUAACAGGGCUAACUAUGCCAUCUUCCCUCCAAUCUUUCGAUUCAGGAAGAACAACAUCAGUAAGUUUGUGGUUGCCCUUUGUGGUAGCAGAGCAGUUUUGAGCUGCUCCUAGCCUGUGUUUCUUGAACUCUUCCCACGUCCAAUCCGCAAAUUGAUUAACACCAAGCUUGUAAGAAAGGCCUUUUCUAUUGGUCGAUUUGAUCAGUUCCAAACUCUCCAAGAAAAUUCCAAAUCGGAGUUUCAUCUCCUCCGCCGUCUCGUACUUCUUCCCAUACCUGUGAGCGAAUCGAGCGAAUCGGAGAGCGUGAGGAACUUGGCCGAGGACUUGAACGACCUCCGACUCCAACUCACGAAGACGGUCAGAGACCAUCCGAAUUGGAUUCGAAUCAUCGAAGACGGAUCCGGCAACUGCACAGCAAAGCACCAGAAGAACAGAGGAAACGAAGAACAGCCGUGGAGCCAUCUCUGCUGCAGAUUCUUACUCUCUCACUCUUCUUCUCUCCACAGAAUUUG